rnacentral:rRNA from 1 species
CCUACGGGCGGCAGCAGUAGGGAAUAUUGCUCAAUGGGCGAAACCCUGAAGCAGCAACGCCGCGUGGAGGAUGACGGUUUUCGGAUUUGUAACUCCUUUUGUUCGAGAAGCUAAUGACGCCAUCUAACGAAUUAGCACCGGCUAACUCCGUGCCAGCAGCCGUGGUAAUACGGCGGGUGCAAGCGUUACUCGGAAUCACUGGGCGUUAACGGGGCGUAGGCGGGAUAGCAAGUCAGCUGUGAAAUCCUAGGGGCUAACCAUAGAACUGCCGUUGAAACUGGUUUUCUAGAGUAUGGGAGAGGUAUGUGGAAUUCGUGGUGUAGGGGUGAAAUGCGUAGAGAUCAAGAAGAAUACUGAUUGCGAAGGCGACCUGCUGGAACAUAACUGACGCUGAUGCGCGAAAGCGUGGGGAGCGAACAGGAUUAGAUACCCCUGUAGUC